rnacentral:rRNA from 1 species
UACGAAGGGGCUAGCGUUGCUCGGAAUCACUGGGCGUAAAGCGCACGUGGGCGGAUUGUUAAGUCAGGGGUGAAAUCCUGGAGCUCAACUCCAGAACUGCCUUUGAUACUGGCGAUCUCGAGUCCGGGAGAGGUGAGUGGAACUGCGAGUGUAGAGGUGAAAUUCGUAGAUAUUCGCAAGAACACCAGUGGCGAAGGCGGCUCACUGGCCCGGUACUGACGCUGAGGUGCGAAAGCGUGGGAGCAACAGG